GAUGAACGCUAGCGACAGGCUUAACACAUGCAAGUCGAGGGGCAUCGGGACGUAGCAAUACGUUGCCGGCGACCGGCGGAUGGGUGAGUAACGCGUAUGCAACCUGCCCACGACAGGGGGACAGCCCGUUGAAAGACGGAUUAAUACCCCAUAAAACAGGGGUUCCGCAUGGGACUAUUUGUUAAAGGUUUUUCCGCGAGGGGGAUCCGGUUGUGGAUGGGCAUGCGUUCCAUUAGGCAGUUGGUGGGGUAACGGCUCACCAAACCGACGAUGGAUAGGGGAACCGGGAGGUUGGUCCCCCACACUGGUACUGAGAUACGGACCAGACUCCUACGGGAGGCAGCAGUGAGGAAUUUUGGUCAAUGGACGGAAGUCUGAACCAGCCAAGUCGCGUGAAGGAAGGCGGCCCUAAGGGUUGUAAACUUCUUUUGCAGGGGAAUAAAGUAUUCCACGAGAUGGGAUAUUGCAAGUACGCUGCGAAUAAGGAUCGGCUAACUCCGUG
rnacentral:rRNA from 1 species